rnacentral:tRNA from 1 species
GGGGUUAUAGCUCAAUUGGGAGAGCAUUUGCAUGGCAUGCAAAAGGUUAGCGGUUCAAAUCCGCUUAGCUCCA